CAAUAGCGUAUAUUAAAGUUGUUGCAGUUAAAAAGCUCGUAGUUGGAUUUGUGGCUGUCACGGGCGGCCUAUCACUUAGUGUUAGUGCUUGCCUGUGUCGCCAUCCUUGGGUGGAGCCCGUGUGGCAUUAGGUUGUCGUGCGGGGGAUGCCCAUCGUUUACUGUGAGAAAAUUAGAGUGUUCAAAGCAGGCUUAUGCCGUUGAAUAUGUUAGCAUGGAAUAAUAAGAUAGGACCUCGGUACUAUUUUGUUGGUUUGCGCACCGAGGUAAUGAUUAAUAGGGACAGUUGGGGGUAUUCGUAUUUCAUUGUCAGAGGUGAAAUGCUUGGAUUUCUGAAAGACGAACUACUGCGAAAGCAUUUACCAAGGAUGUUUUCAUUAA
rnacentral:rRNA from 1 species